rnacentral:sRNA from 1 species
UACAAGCCCUCGGUAAUUGUUUUUGACGA